CCUACGGGUGGCAGCAGUGGGGAAUAUUGCACAAUGGGCGAAAGCCUGAUGCAGCAACGCCGCGUGAGCGAUGAAGUCUUUCGGUUUGUAAAGCUCUAUCCUCAAGGAAGAUAAUGACGGUACCUGACUAAGAAGCCCCGGCUAACUACGUGCCAGCAGCCGCGGUAAUACGUAGGGGGCUAGCGUUAUCCGGAAUUACUGGGUGUAAAGGGUGCGUGGAGGGAUUAGUAAGUCAGAGGUGAAAUGCUAGGGCUCAACCGUAGUAAGCCUUUGAAACUGGGAAACUUGAGUGUAGGAGAGGCGGGUGGAAUUCCUAGUGUAGCGGUGAAAUGCGUAGAUAUUAGGAGGAACACCAGUGGCGAAGGCGGCUCUCUGGACUGUAACUGACACUGAGGCACGAAAGCGUGGGGAGCAAACAGGAUUAGAUACCCCUGUAGUC
rnacentral:rRNA from 1 species